rnacentral:rRNA from 1 species
AUACGGGGGGCGCAAGCGUUGUCCGGAAUCACUGGGCGUAAAGCGCGCGUAGGCGGCCAGAUCAGUCACGUGUGAAAUCCCGGAGCUCAACUCCGGACCUGCACGUGAUACUGUCUGGCUAGAGCAUGGUAGAGGCAAGUGGAAUUCCCGGUGUAGCGGUGGAAUGCGUAGAUAUCGGGAAGAACACCAGUGGCGAAGGCGGCUUGCUGGGCCAUUGCUGACGCUGAGGCGCGAAAGCGUGGGGAGCAAACAGGAUUAGAUACCCCGGUAGUCC